rnacentral:rRNA from 1 species
GACGAACCGUGCGAACGUUAUUCGGAAUCACUGGGCUUAAAGCGCGUGUAGGCGGAUGGGCGCGUCGGCCGCUGAAAUCCCCCGGCUCAACCGGGGAAGGGGCGCCGAAACGGCCCGUCUGGAGGGGGGUAGGGGGCGCUGGAACUCACGGUGGAGCGGUGAAAUGCGUUGAGAUCGUGAGGAACGCCCGCGGCGAAAGCGAGCGCCUGGACCCUUUCUGACGCUGAGACGCGAAAGCCAGGGGAGCGAACGGG